AACGAACGCUGGCGGCAUGCCUAACACAUGCAAGUCGAACGAACCCUUCGGGGUUAGUGGCGCACGGGUGCGUAACGCGUGGGAAUCUGCCCUUUGCUUCGGAAUAACUCAGGGAAACUUGUGCUAAUACCGGAUGAUGUCUUCGGACCAAAGAUUUAUCGGCAAGGGAUGAGCCCGCGUAGGAUUAGGUAGUUGGUGGGGUAAAGGCCUACCAAGCCGACGAUCCUUAGCUGGUCUGAGAGGAUGAUCAGCCACACUGGGACUGAGACACGGCCCAGACUCCUACGGGAGGCAGCAGUGGGGAAUAUUGGACAAUGGGCGCAAGCCUGAUCCAGCAAUGCCGCGUGAGUGAUGAAGGCCCUCGGGUCGUAAAGCUCUUUUACCAGGGAUGAUAAUGGCAGUACCUGGAGAAUAAGCUCCGGCUAACUCCGUG
rnacentral:rRNA from 1 species